GAGGUAACUUAAAUUUGCAGCGGCAGCAACCGAUUUAGAAGAUUUUAAAGAUUAAAAGCUAGCUAAUGCUAACCAACUGGGAGAAACCUUGCGUGGAGCCGGGCUGACUGGAAGACGUGCUGCUGCAGGUUUUCUAUACGAACGGAGGGGUACUCAGUAAGUGGACUCUGGUCCAAAUAUGGCGUAAGAUUUCCAUACGACAUCCAUGAGAUACUGAAACACAGUGUGUACGGAGAGUCCAGGGCUCCUCCGAUGAAGCUGGUAGUGAAACCUGAGUGAAGACAGCCACUGAUAUAAAGUCAGCAUGUCUAAAUCACUGAUUAUCAAAACUGCAUCAAAUAUUUAGAUUAGAGGUUGUGGGAUGAAUCAUGGAUAUCAUAUCCUCUAUAACAUCUAAUAUCUAAAUCUGCUUGU